CUGAUUUGAAAUAAUAGCUGAAACACAAUUAAGCUUUGAAGAAAGGAAAUUUAUCCUAAAACUUUUACUGGAAGUGAGAGAACAUAAAUGAAAUGCAAAGGUAAUUUAAAAGAGAGUUUUGAAGAGAUCUAUCGAUGCAACUCACCAUUAUUCAGAUUAAAAAUUUGAAACAGAUUUAUUCAAGAUGUCUAGAAGCGUCAUUUCGGAAGAUCGCAGAUAUCCAGAAAAAAUGAACCUGCUGGAAACACCGCCAAUCUCUAAGAAUAUCUGUUGACACGCAGCUGGUGAGAUGGGAAUUUCAAAAUCGAGCGUUUAUUGCAUUUCGAAAUAUGCCAUUGAAAAUAUUUUAUUCCAACAUCAAUCUAAACCAUCAAUGAACAUGAUCCUGACUGGAGAAUUGAACUGGUCGGAAAAUCUAGCGAACAGAUGGAUUGGACGAAGAGGUAGCAUUGAAUACCCGCAUGUUCACCAGUCACAUUUCACGGAUAUUUUUACGAAGAUAAGGUUUAGGACAUAAAACCGGCAACAAUCAAUGAACUGAAAGCAGCAUUGAAAGAAUGCGACCAAAUAUCAAAUGUGUGUAUUCGUGAUGUUUACAAUUCCAUUCGAUGAUGAUGAUAGUAAUGCGUGGAUCAGAAUAGUCUUCAGCUCAAAUACUGUGAUGACUUAAAAAUAUUCUACAUUACUCUUCUUACAUUUAACUUUUAUAAUCCAAAUUAAUCUUAAUAAAUAUUGCAUUUAUAAGUAUUCGGUGUGUAUACAUUUUUUGGGUCACCC
rnacentral:lncRNA from 1 species